rnacentral:SRP_RNA from 1 species
AGGUUAAUACCCAACCCCGCCAGGUCCGGAAGGAAGCAACGGUAAGUAUUUAACCUGGGUGGUCUUUUGGUCUGGCUUUU